rnacentral:rRNA from 1 species
AGCGAACGCUGGCGGCAGGCUUAACACAUGCAAGUCGAGCGGGCACUUUCGGGUGUCAGCGGCGGACGGGUGAGUAACGCGUGGGAACGUGCCCUCUGGUUCGGAAUAACUCAGGGAAACUUGAGCUAAUACCGGAUACGCCCUUUUGGGGAAAGGCUUGCUGCCGGAGGAUCGGCCCGCGUCUGAUUAGCUAGUUGGUGAGGUAACGGCUCACCAAGGCGACGAUCAGUAGCUGGUCUGAGAGGAUGAUCAGCCACAGUGGGACUGAGACACGGCCCAGCCCCAGACGGGAGGGAGAAGGGGGAAAUAUUGGACAAGGGGCGCAAGCCUAAUCCAGCCAUGCCGGGGGGAGGAAGAAGGCCUAAGGGUUGAAAAGCUUUUUUAUCCGGGACAAAAAGGGGGGUACCGGAGAAAUAAGCCCCGGCUAACUUCGUC